ACUUAAAUUGAAGAGUUUGAUCAUGGCUCAGAUUGAACGCUGGCGGCAGGCCUAACACAUGCAAGUCGAGCGGUAGCACAGAGAGCUUGCUCUCGGGUGACGAGCGGCGGACGGGUGAGUAAUGUCUGGGAAACUGCCUGAUGGAGGGGGGUAACUACUGGAAACGGUAGCUAAUACCGCAUAACGUCGCAAGACCAAAGUGGGGGACCUUCGGGCCUCAUGCCAUCAGAUGUGCCCAGAUGGGAUUAGCUAGUAGGUGGGGUAACGGCUCACCUAGGCGACGAUCCCUAGCUGGUCUGAGAGGAUGACCAGCCACACUGGAACUGAGACACGGUCCAGACUCCUACGGGAGGCAGCAGUGGGGAAUAUUGCAC
rnacentral:rRNA from 1 species